rnacentral:tRNA from 1 species
UCCCUGGUGACCUAAUGGUUAAGAGUUCAGCAUUAUCACUGCUGUGGCUCGGGUUUGAUCCCUGGCCCUGGAA